GGGGUCGUUUGUUUGUUCGACCCCGAAUUCGAUUGUGCACGCAAUUAAUGAUUAGAUUGAUUAACGAUUAAUCUAAAUGUACGCGCCGUAUGCGUUUAGCCUUUUAUCUCGGUACAAUAUUGUAUAACAUGGUACCCGGCUAUAUUGCACGGGUUCCGAUUAUUUCCGGUGUUUCUUUAUUCUCACUCAUUAGCUACCUGUAUUAUAAUUUAUCUAUCGUAUUAUUAAUUCCUUUAAAUUAUUUGCUUUCAAUGCGGUUUUUAUUUCUUCGGCCUUGUAAUUUCUCUCCGAUCUAUCUGUCUAUCUCUUAUCUACCGUCGGACUAGAUUGCGCGGCGGUUUUUAAUACCAAUUGAAUUUCACUCCAUGUGUAUAAAUAAUCACGUCGUUAGAAAAAAAACCUUUAACCUGGAUUAUCACUUUUAGGUACUCGAAAGUCACCUCUAAAACGACCUGUAUGAAAUUCCUGUAUCAACUGUAUUCCACUCAAACGCCAGUGAUAUCUCCGUUACGAUACUAUACUGCUAUAGGCAAUUUCGGAUUUAUGCCUCUUAAAUGCGCCCUGCCGUCGAAAUCAACUAACGUUUUCCCCUUUGGACAAUCGAUCUUUACUCGGUAUAUUUACCACACAGCC